rnacentral:rRNA from 1 species
UACGGAGGGUGCAAGCGUUAUCCGGAUUCACUGGGUUUAAAGGGUGCGUAGGCGGGCAGGUAAGUCAGAGGUGAAAUCUCCGAGCUUAACUCGGAAACUGCCUUUGAUACUAUCUGUCUUGAAUAUGGUUGAGGUAAGCGGAAUAUGUCAUGUAGCGGUGAAAUGCUUAGAGAUGACAUAGAACACCCAUUGCGAAGGCAGCUUACUAAGCCUAUAUUGACGCUGAGGCACGAAAGCGUGGGGAGCAAACAGG